UGUCAACAAGAUUCAGCAAAACUGUCUAUAGCUCACUGUUUGUACAUCAGGGAGUUGAACUAGUGUCUAGUGGACUCUCCUACACCAUUCAGGGCACCCUUUCUAGCCAAGUGGAGCAAUUGUGAGUGGGCCCAAACAAGGCCACCAUGACAGUGACCAUUUGGUGAGGGUUUACAGUGCACAACGCACAAUACUAGGAGCUUUACAUACAUUAUCCUUUUUUUUUUUUAAUCUUACCAUAACCCUCUAAUGUGCUGUUAUUCUUAUUCCCUUUUUACAGAGAAUGUUACUGAGGCUCAAAGAGCUGACAUUAAUUUGGCCAAAGUCAAACAGUGAACACUGGUGGCAUUAAGGUUUGAUCUAGAUCACUGAGGUUCCUAAGUACAUACACUGACAUUAUAUAAGACUGCUUCUGUGGAAAUGCUUAGGAGUAAGGUAAGAACUUAAGACUUUGGACCUCUAGGACUGUGAUGAAUCGUUUAAAAUUUUGAGAUGCUUUUGGAACUGCAAGUAAGUCUCAGUUAAAGUAGUUCUCCUACUUGUUAACUUGGGGCCCCCGUUUUAAGCCAAAGUCAAUCCCAAAUCUUAUGAACAGAGAAACCUCCAAGAGGGCCUCCUACCUCUUUUCCCUUACGCUCAUCCUCUGCCACCUGUCAUAUUUCCACUGUGCUAAAAUUCAUGUGGAAAAGAAUACUUAGUAAAUUAAUAAAAGAGAAAGCCUGACUUUCUCAGGUCAUAAAAGAUUAAUCCAUUUUUUUUUGGAACCUCCCUAGCCAAGAUACUGAAAAGAAUGAGAUUUAUUCGGCAACUUUCUUCCCAGAUGGGAAAGUGAUUCACAAAUAGUGGAAUUAAUGCAAUUCAUUGAUGUGUUGUUCAAGAUUCCCGAAGGCACCUGGAAAUACUAUGGGAAGUGCCCUGAGAAGACAUUAGUAGUGAACGAUGAAGAUGUCUUUCCCAAACCUUCCACCAUGAGCAACACAACAGACAUGGAAUUAAAAGGCUCUAACCGUCAAGCCAGUCAUAAGGAAGGGGCUCUUCAAUGCGCUCGGAAACACAGGAGGCUAACUGGAAACUUCACCUUUGACACACAGAGCAGAGCCUAUGCACUGGGCUGCUUCUGCCCACUGGGAUGGAAUUUUCCGCCCCAAGGAGGGAAGCAAAGAACAGCUCUGGGCUCCUAUUGGAAGAAGUGCAGUCCUGCUCCCUUGCUGUUUCCAUGGUAUGAUCGAGACUGCAUCCGGAGGAAGACUGAGUCCCUGACAAGGCUAAAAGGACACAACUUAGUCUCUGAUGAACUAGUCAAGUGCCUGGCAGUGAUAAAGGUCCAUACACUUUUUCUGGGUUUAUAGGAAGAAGUUGCCUUAUCUCCCAAUUUCCCGUUCAAUUUCUGACAAGUUCAGCACCUACUACUGUUCCAGAAAUGCAUUUGUGCUACAAGUGUGGCAAUCAAUGAACCUAAUGUCCAGUUGCAUAGAGUCAUGGACCAGUCAAGCAUCUUCUUUUACAGACACCAAAAAUGAGACCCAGAGAGCUAUAAGAUUUUUCAAAACUAGACAGCUGACUAAAAUCUUCCUGCUUUCUUUAUAGGCACGGGGUGGGGGUGAGACGGUGCUCAGCACAAUAUUUAUUGCUAUUAUCUAGAUCACAAUCAAAACCAACUUGGUGGGGGCAGAGAGUGGAGCAGUGGAUUCAACUUUAGUUUUCAGAUGUCAUGGGCAGGGGGAAGGAGGCUUUAUAUUCUUGUUAAUGAAAGCAUCUCAGCUGAAAGAAAAACUGUUCACCUUAAAAGUUAGUCUGCUUCUAGUGAGGCACAAUUUGGACUCCAAAAAUGAGGGAAAGCCAUGCCAGUGUAGACUGUUACUGUGGGCAGCAGUGUAGCAGUGUAGAAUGUGGAAUAACACACAGCCAAAUGAGUUCCGACUCCUCUCAAUAGUCCCAACUCACUCUGGGGCAGCCUCCCCAGAUUCCCUCUCUCUCUAAAGCUCCUCUAGAAUAUUUCUCCACACUCCUGGAUGAGCUCACUGUCUCCUCCUUCAUCUUUCU
ensembl:lncRNA